AGUGAACGCUGGCGGUAGGCCUAACACAUGCAAGUCGAACGGCAGCACAGUAAGAGCUUGCUCUUACGGGUGGCGAGUGGCGGACGGGUGAGGAAUACAUCGGAAUCUACUUUUUCGUGGGGGAUAACGUAGGGAAACUUACGCUAAUACCGCAUACGACCUACGGGUGAAAGCAGGGGAUCUUCGGACCUUGCGCGAUUGAAUGAGCCGAUGUCGGAUUAGCUAGUUGGCGGGGUAAAAGCCCACCAAGGCGACGAUCCGUAGCUGGUCUGAGAGGAUGAUCAGCCACACUGGAACUGAGACACGGUCCAGACUCCUACGGGAGGCAGCAGUGGGGAAUAUUGGAGAAUGGGCGCAAGCCUGAUCCAGCCAUACCGCGUGGGUGAAGAAGGCCUUCGGGUUGUAAAGCCCUUUUGUUGGGAAAGAAAAGCAGCAGGUUAAUACCCCGCUGUUCUGACGGUACCCAAAGAAUAAGCACCGGCUAACUUCGUG
rnacentral:rRNA from 1 species